CAGCAGCCGCGGUAAUACGUAGGGUGCAAGCGUUAUCCGGAAUUAUUGGGCGUAAAGAGCUCGUAGGCGGUUUGUCGCGUCUGCUGUGAAAACUGGAGGCUCAACCUCCAGCCUGCAGUGGGUACGGGCAGACUAGAGUGCGGUAGGGGAGAUUGGAAUUCCUGGUGUAGCGGUGGAAUGCGCAGAUAUCAGGAGGAACACCGAUGGCGAAGGCAGAUCUCUGGGCCGUAACUGACGCUGAGGAGCGAAAGCGUGGGGAGCGAACAGGAUUAGAGACCCCGGUAGUCCCUGUCUCUUAUAC
rnacentral:rRNA from 1 species